rnacentral:tRNA from 1 species
CGAAGAAUAGUCUAAACAUGACACUAGCUUUGGGGGCUAGGAAUGGGAGUGAAAAUCCCCCUUCUUUGA